UGGGGAAUAUUGCACAAUGGGGGAAACCCUGAUGCAGCGACGCCGCGUGAGUGAAGAAGUAUUUCGGUAUGUAAAGCUCUAUCAGCAGGGAAGAAAAUGACGGUACCUGACUAAGAAGCCCCGGCUAACUACGUGCCAGCAGCCGCGGUAAUACGUAGGGGGCAAGCGUUAUCCGGAUUUACUGGGUGUAAAGGGAGCGUAGACGGCAUGGCAAGUCUGAAGUGAAAUGCGGGGGCUCAACCCCUGAACUGCUUUGGAAACUGUCAGGCUGGAGUGCAGGAGAGGUAAGUGGAAUUCCUAGUGUAGCGGUGAGAUGCGUAGAUAUUAGGAGGAACACCAGUGGCGAAGGCGGCUUACUGGACUGUAACUGACGUUGAGGCUCGAAAGCGUGGGGAGCAAACAGGAUUAGAUACCCUGGUAGUCCACGCUGUAAACGAUGAUUACUAGGUGUGGGGGGACUGACCCCUUCCGUGCCGGAGUUAACACAAUAAGUAUUCCACCUGGGGAGUACGACCGCAAGGUUGAAACUCAAAGGAAUUGACGGGGGCCCGCACAAGCAGUGGAUUAUGUGGUUUAAUUCGAAGCAACGCGAAGAACCUUACCAGGGCUUGACAUCCCACUAACGAAGUAGAGAUACAUUAGGUGCCCUUCGGGGAAAGUGGAGACAGGUGGUGCAUGGUUGUCGUCAGCUCGUGUCGUGAGAUGUUGGGUUAAGUCCCGCAACGAGCGCAACCCCUAUUUCCAGUAGCCAGCAGUAAGAUGGGCACUCUGGAGAGACUGCCGGGGAUAACCCGGAGGAAGGUGGGGAUGACGUCAAAUCAUCAUGCCCCUUAUGAUUUGGGCUACACACGUGCUACAAUGGCAGUUACAAAGAGAAGCAACCCCGUGAGGGUGAGCAAACCUCAAAAAGGCUGUCUCAGUUCGGAUUGUAGUCUGCAACUCGACUACAUGAAGCUGGAAUCGCUAGUAAUCGCAGAUCAGAAUGCUGCGGUGAAUACGUUCCC
rnacentral:rRNA from 1 species